rnacentral:rRNA from 1 species
UACGGAGGAUGCAAGCGUUAUCCGGAAUGAUUGGGCGUAAAGCGUCCGCAGGUGGCAGUUCAAGUCUGCUGUCAAAGACCGGGGCUUAACUUCGGAAAGGCAGUGGAAACUGAACAGCUAGAGUAUGGUAGGGGCAGAGGGAAUUCCUGGUGUAGCGGUGGAAUGCGCAGAUAUCAGGAGGAACACCGAUAGCGAAGGCAGCUCGCCGGGACGGUACUGACGCUGAGGUGCGAAAGCGUGGGGAGCGAACAGG